rnacentral:rRNA from 1 species
CCUUCGGGUUGUAAACCACUUUUGUCAGGGAAGAAAUGGACUUUUCUAAUACGAGAGUUCGAUGACGGUACCUGGAGAAUAAGCACCGGCUAACUACGUGC